UACGGGGGGGGGUAAGCGUUGUUCGGAAUUACUGGGCGUAAAGGGCUCGUAGGCGGCCAACUAAGUCAGACGUGAAAUCCCUCAGCUUAACUGGGGAACUGCGUCUGAUACUGGAUGGCUUGGAUUCGGGAGAGGGAUGCAGAAUUCCAGGUGUAGCGGUGAAAUGCGUAGAUAUCUGGAGGAAUACCGGUGGCGAAGGCGGCAUCCUGGACCGGCAUUGACGCUGAGGAGCGAAAAGCCAGGGGGAGCAAACGGGG
rnacentral:rRNA from 1 species